UGAAGACUCUGUUCUCUCUCCCUCCACUCAAGAAGACAUAGGUAAAGAAAUGCCUGGAGCCCUCUCUAAGACAGACUCCCGUGUGAGUGACCAAAGGUUAAAGGUCAACUUCAUCAAGUCAUCUCAUUAACACAGAAAUGUCUUUGAAGGUAUUCAGUCUUUGCCAUGCUUGACAUUUCACCAGACUGCAACCAAGACGCCAAAGAAUCAGAUUCAAAUAUUAAUGAGCAAAAGGUCACAAUGAGGUCAGCUGGGGGUCAGGCUAAAGAAGCAGCCCCUCCCUGGCACAGAGGGAAGACAGCCAUGGCAGAACGAUGUAAUGAUUCUCAAGGAUUCUGCUUGAAGGUGACAUCCAUCCAUUCUGUUCACAUUUCACUGGACACAGGACAUCACAUGGUCACACUUGAGGUCAUUGGGUAGAGAAUUUUAAUUCUCUCACAAGGAGAGGCAAUAAAUAAUUAGGGAAAAUAAUA